UUUCUUAAGUCAAACCUUUU
rnacentral:miRNA from 1 species